ensembl:misc_RNA
UCGUACGCUGGGCUAUAAUUUAUGAAACUGAGCCCCAGAUCCAGCCAAUCAUUUAGCUCCUCAUAACAAGUCUGACUGGCUCUGGAAAGCUGAAAGGGCUGCACUAGAACAACAGAGAUGAGAUAUUCCACAUAACACUCAGCUUAUCUGGAAUCACUUUCCCUUGCAAGGCCAGAAAAAAAUCAUAGCUUUACUGCCCAAGGGAAGCACGACAAAGGACUGGGAAAUGCGACUUCACCUGGAGCAA